AACCAACGCCCCCUGCAGUGGAAGCACGGAGUCUGAACCACUAGACCGCCAGGGAAGUCCCAAAGCUUCCUUUUCUUGAAGAGGCCAUCUGCACGAUCUAGAGCUGAAAGGCAAGCCAAGUGCCCUCCCACCUUCCCCACCAGGCCAGAUGCUUCUCACGCCCACCCGUGACGUGGAAGCCACAUCAGCCAGAAAUCACCCCCGAACGGCGAUGAAGGCAGGAAAGGUCUUCACAGACUUGACACACGGCACUGGUCACCAAACAGAAAACAAUGGAACCUCAACAUCGUUAUGUUUUGACAAUCUGAAAAAUCACGUAUCAGCCUGGAAACAGUGCGAGCCAUCGGUGAACCUCAGCACCUCCCUUCCCUUGGCUCUCGGUGAGAUAAACGUUGACCACACGCUGUGGCAGGCGAGACAGGCCCGGGGCGGCCGAGGAGAUGCUGGCCAGCAGCACACUUCCCGUCCGCCUUUGCCAAGAAGUCAUCAAGCGCAUGGUCGGUUUUCUUUCAUGAAACCCACUUCAUCCUUAUCUUUGUUUUCUUUUUGAAUGAGUCCCAGUUGACGGAUUACGCACAGAUGUGUGUGUUUUUCUUAGAAGACCUGGGUCACCGGCAGCGUGGAGGUGAAAGUCCCGCAGAUGAGCCUCUGAGCACAAUUCCUCUGCGAUUUCACAUGUGAAAUGUCAGGCAUUCACACGUGACUUUACAAGUAAGCUGGCAUGCUUUAGUAAGCCUUGCAGCCAGGACAGAAACUCUCGAAUCAGUCCUGUGCAUGAUUAAUAGGCCAUCUUGAUCCCCACCAGCCCCACGGCGGGGCAGCCCAUCAUCUGGGAAAGCAUUUUCUCCUCAGCGGUUGCUGCAUUCUUUGGUUUGUUUUUAACAACAUUUUGUUUACAAAAACAUUUCAUAUGUGUUAUUCCUAAUGACACAUGUUCGUUGUAGAACAUUCAGAACAUGCAGAACAGCAGAGAAAAGCAAUUAAAAACCCCUCACAAUCCUGCCGUCCGGAAAAAGGGGGUUAACACAGCUCUCUGCAGUUCAGAUUUCCCAACGGCCAAACAGGGACAAAUAAUAGUUCAAGAGUAGUAGGAUUUAAGUAAGUUUAUAGUGUAAAGAACUCAGCACAACACAAGAGAUAAUUAAUGUGAGCUGCUUUACUGAUAACAUCUUAAUGAACUUCCUUGCAGUCUGUGUGUGUGUGUGUGUGUGUGUGUGUGUGUUUGUAUGUACAAACAUCAACAUUUCACACACCUUGGAUCUUACGGAGGAAUUUAAUUUUUCUUAAAAUCCCUUUCCAUUUCAGCUGGGUUCUGACUAAUCUUCCAAGGCUAUGUUCUAAAAGCUCUUAUAGGAGGAAAGAUGGAGGGUCAAAAACUAAGAAGUGUCAGCUCUGUGUAUAAGUAAUAGGGUUCAUUCCCACCACUUGGACAUGAACUUGCAAAUAUUUUUCCAGAGGCAAUAUUGUAUUUUUCCCCAAUGAUACACAGUCAUUUCUAGUAUCCUAUCUUAUCAAUUGGACGGGCUUUACAAGAAGGCUGUCUGGGGUGAGGGUCCAAAUUGCAAUCACAGAAAAGAAAGCAAUGCUCAGUGACCUGCACGGAAAUUAGACUGGCCGCUUGGGCCUCAUCAGUGUGAAGAAGGCAUCAGUCAAGCUCAUCAUGCCCAACUCGGUCCAUACACGUAUCUCACAUGGGGUCGUUUCGCUCAGGAGUCUUCUUUGAUGCUGGUGCCGCAGGACACUUUGUGGAAGGGACUGGCCCUUGCCCCAUGAUUUCAGCCACAGUGCCAGGACUGAACACAUGUAAUUGGUGCCAGACACUAGCUAGGCCCUGGAUUUAUAUGCUUUCUAGAAGCAUACAUGGUUAUACUGAAGAAGCAAACAAGCAGCCCACCUUACAGGACACUGUGGAAAGCGCUCUACAGAGGAGGUUUUCUUAGGACAAUGAGGGCCCCGGAGAGGGAGCACGGAGGCUGCCUGAAAGUGCAGAAAACCUUUCGGAAGAGGAAGAAUCGAGCUGAAUCUUGAAGGGCCAGCUGGAGCUUGUCAGGCAGACAAAUGGGGAGAGACGAACCCAGAAGCCUCAAGUGUGCACUCUGAACUCAAUCUGCCUGCUACUUGCUAGCGCUUAUAAUCUUGGUCAAGUUCCCAAACUGCUCUGAGCCUGUUUUGUUUUUGUUUUAAAUAAGACUUUAAAAAAAUCAGUUUUACUGAGAUAUAACUCACACACCAUAAAACUCCCCCAUUUAAAGAGUACAAUUCAUUGACAAUGUAGGAUAUUCACAGAGUUGUGCAACUACCUGCACGUCAAUUUUGGAACACUUUCAUCGUCCUAAAGAAACGCCAUAUACCCACUAACAGCCAUUCCCCAUUUCCCUCCAAUCCCCUUAGCUCCUGGCAACCACUGACCUACUCUCUGCCUCGAUAGAUCUGCCUUUUCUGGACAUUUCAGAUAAAUCAAAUCACACAAUAUGUGGUCUUCUGUGACUGGCUUCUUUCACUUAGCAAAAUAUUUUUGAGGUCUGUGGCUAUUUAGUCAUGUAUCAAAUGAAAGUAAUAAUUGAAUCUACCUCAGAUGUAGAUGUUUUAUGAGGUUUAGAUGAGAAGGCUGCCAAACGUCUGGUGCAGAGGAAGUACUCAGAGUUAGGUCUCCUCAUGCUGAUGUUUCUUUGCAGAGCCAAGGAGGGGAUCAGGUUAGACACCUGUCCAGUCCGUAAUGAUCUCGUCAUCCGUACGCUCAGAUGAGAGGGAGGAACCAUGGCGCAUGCACACCGCUGUUCAAAGUUCAAAACGGUGCGCGGAGAGCAAGGUGAGAUCAUGCGACUGAUGGGGCAACUUCUGGAUUAUGUGCAUCGUCCUCUUCCCCUGCCGCUUCCCAUGGGCUGGAAUGAAGACGCGGUGGUCAUGGCUUCCAAUUCUUUACUUACUAGGGGGAUGUAACGGAACUGUCGGUUGAUAACGUAUUAGAUCCCUUCAGCUGCUAUUACAACUCAGCACAAACUUAGUGACUUAAAACAACACAGAUUUAUUCUCUUAUGGUUCUGGAGGUCAGAAGUCUGAAAACGGUUUCACGGAGCUAACAUGAAGGAGAAAGGUGAUCAAAGAAAGAUUUAUGUAUAAAAUGCAUUAGUAUAAAUUUCUGUGGGGGAAGUGGAAUGGAUACACAGGUUCCAAAAGAAAAUGAAACAAUACGAAAUUUCUGACAGGAAGCGUAUGAACAAAAAGUUUGAAGACAACUACUGAUGGGCCUGCUUGUCAGGAGAGCAGCACCCCGUCCAGCCCCUGGCAAGGGGGUUUUGCUUGAACCACAGUGAUGAGAAGUUUCCUUGGGCUCUUGGACUAAUAAAGUAUCUCAAUGGCUAGUCCCAGUUCCGUCAAAAUAACAACAAGGAAAAAUACCCAGACUCCUCUAUUCACCAGCUCACUCAUUCCCUUCCUACACUGCCCAGCCAGAGAUACUUGUCUGCAGUUCAUCAGGCCGGAGAACCUCACACUCUGGUUGCCAAUACAGAGUGCUUGGUGGUAAGAAGAGGCCUCUUAAUGGAUCCAAAUGUUAAGUUCUGACCAGAAGUUGCCACCAGGCUAGAUACAGAUAUUGCCAACUCCCCCAUCAGAAAAACAAAAGCAAGACUCUAGGCACCCAUAUUCAGAGCUUGUUAUGAGACUACUCUUAUGAGCGUAUAUAUAUAUGGUGAUUAUUUUGGGUAAACGGGAGUAGAUAAAUAAAAUUCAAAGUAAACUCUU